rnacentral:rRNA from 1 species
GAUGAACGCUGGCGGCGUGCCUAAUACAUGCAAGUCGAGCGAACUGAUUAGAAGCUUGCUUCUAUGACGUUAGCGGCGGACGGGUGAGUAACACGUGGGCAACCUGCCUGUAAGACUGGGAUAACUUCGGGAAACCGAAGCUAAUACCGGAUAGGAUCUUCUCCUUCAUGGGAGAUGAUUGAAAGAUGGUUUCGGCUAUCACUUACAGAUGGGCCCGCGGUGCAUUAGCUAGUUGGUGAGGUAACGGCGCACAAAGGCAACGAUGCAUAGCCGACCUGAGAGGGGGACCGGCCACGUGGGGAAUGAGACACGGCCCAGAUUCCUGGGGGAGGGAGCAAUAGGGAAUCUUCCGCAAUGGACGAAAGGCUGACGGAGCAACGCCGGGGGAGGGAUGAAGGCUUGCGGGUCGUAAAACUCUGUUGUUAGGGAAGAACAGGUACGAGAGUAACUGCUCGUACCUUGACGGUACCUAACCAGAAAGCCACGGCUAACUACGUGCCAGCAGCCGCCGUAAAAC